rnacentral:rRNA from 2 species
AGGGUGACAGCCCCGUACACAAAAAUGCACAUGCUGUGAGCUCGAUGAGUAGGGCGGGACACGUGGUAUCCUGUCUGAAUAUGGGGGGACCAUCCUCCAAGGCUAAAUACUCCUGACUGACCGAUAGUGAACCAGUACCGUGAGGGAAAGGCGAAAAGAACCCCGGCGAGGGGAGUGAAAAAGAACCUGAAACCGUGUACGUACAAGCAGUGGGAGCACGCUUAGGCGUGUGACUGCGUACCUUUUGUAUAAUGGGUCAGCGACUUAUAUUCUGUAGCAAGGUUAACCGAAUAGGGGAGCCGAAGGGAAACCGAGUCUUAACUGGGCGUUAAGUUGCAGGGUAUAGACCCGAAACCCGGUGAUCUAGCCAUGGGCAGGUUGAAGGUUGGGUAACACUAACUGGAGGACCGAACCGACUAAUGUUGAAAAAUUAGCGGAUGACUUGUGGCUGGGGGUGAAAGGCCAAUCAAACCGGGAGAUAGCUGGUUCUCCCCGAAAGCUAUUUAGGUAGCGCCUCGUGAAUUCAUCUCCGGGGGUAGAGCACUGUUUCGGCAAGGGGGUCAUCCCGA